UGAUAAUAGUUUGUUAGAAUUAACCUUGCAAAGCACCAAAUUAAACAAAGAUAAAUAACAAGAUUAAUACAAGAAAUUAGAAAUCAACUGUAUAGAUUAAAAAAUAAAAGUGAAAAACUCUAUUUUUUCCAAAACAAGAUGCAACAAUGGUGGAUAAAUCAAGGGUCAAACUUAUGGCCACAAUCCAAAUGGUAGCACCACACAAAUUAGACCCAAAGAUCACUUCAAGUAACCCACACAAGGCAUAGAGGAAGAGGACCCAAAACGAAGUAGUGAAGGGACUGAAAUGUGGAGGAGACAGAUAAAUAGUGAAGGUAGCAAAGAAAGGAUCGACGAAGGAGAGAACAAGAAAGAUUCUCUCAAAAAAUACAACCACAAAGGCUUAGUACUUGUUUUCAUCUCACUUGAAUCAUCUCCCAAAAG
rnacentral:lncRNA from 1 species